rnacentral:rRNA from 1 species
UGAGUGGCGGACGGUGAGUAACGCGUGGGCAACCUGGCCUGUACAGGGGGAUAACACUUAGAAAUAGUGCUAAUACCGCAUAACGGGGGAAGCCGCAUGGCUUUUCCCUGAAAACUCCGGUGGUACAGGAUGGGCCCGCGUCUGAUUAGCCAGUUGGCAGGGUAACGGCCUACCAAAGCGACGAUCAGUAGCCGGCCUGAGAGGGCGGACGGCCACACUGGGACUGAGACACGGCCCAGACUCCUACGGGAGGCAGCAG